UACGUAGGGGGCUAGCGUUGUCCGGAAUCAUUGGGCGUAAAGCGCGUGUAGGCGGUCCGGUAAGUCCGCUGUGAAAGUCGGGGGCUCAACCCUCGAAUGCCGGUGGAUACUGUCGGGCUAGAGUGCGGAAAAGGCGAGUGGAAUUCCUGGUGUAGCGGUGAAAUGCGCAGAUAUCAGGAGGAACACCGAUGGCGAAGGCAGGUCUCUGGGCCACUACUGACGCUGAGAAGCGAAAGCAUGGGGAGCGAACAGG
rnacentral:rRNA from 1 species